UACGAAGGGGGCUAGCGUUGCUCGGAAUCACUGGGCGUAAAGGGUGCGUAGGCGGGUCUUUAAGUCGGGGGUGAAAUCCCGGAGCUCAACUCCAGAACUGCCUUCGAUACUGGAGAGCUUGAGUCCGGGAGAGGUGAGUGGAACUGCGAGUGUAGAGGUGAAAUUCGUAGAUAUUCGCAAGAACACCAGUGGCGAAGGCGGCUCACUGGCCCGGUACUGACGCUGAGGUGCGAAAGCGUGGGGAGCAAACAGG
rnacentral:rRNA from 1 species